rnacentral:rRNA from 1 species
UGGGGGAAGUGGCGAAAGGGGCAGUAAUGCAUGGGUAACCUACCCCGGGGACGGGGAUAGCCAUCCUAACGGAUGGGUAAUACCUGGCGAUCUGGCGAGGAGACAUCUCUUUGCCAGGAAAUGAAUUUCGCCUCGGGAGGGGCCCAUGUGGUAUUAGCUUGUUGGUAGGGUAACGGCCUACCAAGGCCAAGAUGCCUAGCAGGUGUGAGAGCACGACCUGCGCCACUGGCACUGAGACACUGGCCAGACUCCUACGGGAGGCUGCAGUCGAGGAUCUUCGGCAAUGGGCGCAAGCCUGACCGAGCGACGCCGCGUGUGCGAUGAAGGCCUUCGGGUUGUAAAGCACUGUCGAGGGGGAGGAAGGCCCGCAAGGGUUUGACCUAUCCCUGGAGGAAGCACGGGCUAAGUUCGUGCCAGCAGCCGCGGUAAGACGAACCGUGCAAACGUUGUUCGGAAUCACUGGGCUUAAAGGGCGCGUAGGCGGGUGGUCAAGUCAGGGGUGAAAUCCUCCAGCUUAACUGGAGAACAGCUUUUGAUACUGGCCGUCUUGAGGGGGGUAGGGGCAUGUGGAACUUCCGGUGGAGCGGUGAAAUGCGUAGAUAUCGGAAGGAACGCCGGUGGCGAAAGCGACGUGCUGGACCCUUUCUGACGCUGAGGCGCGAAAGCCAG